rnacentral:tRNA from 1 species
GGUCCUGUAGUGUAGUGGUUAUCACAGCGGAUUCUGAUUGAUCAGAGUUUUCCGCUAACCCAGGUUCGAGUCCUGGCAGGACCU